rnacentral:rRNA from 1 species
UACAGAGGGUGCGAGCGUUAAUCGGAAUUACUGGGCGUAAAGCGCGCGUAGGCGGCUUUGCAAGUCGAGUGUGAAAUCCCCAGGCUUAACCUGGGAACUGCAUUCGAGACUGCAUAGCUAGAGUAUGGGAGAGGGAAGUGGAAUUUCAGGUGUAGCGGUGAAAUGCGUAGAUAUCUGAAGGAACAUCAGUGGCGAAGGCGGCUCUCUGGGCCUUACCUGACGCUGAGGAACGAAAGCGUGGGUAGCGAACAGG